UUCAUUUCAUUUAGAAAAAAAUCAGUCCUCGAUACCAACCACAGGCAAUUACUUCCUUCAUCCCAUCUUUCAGCAUCCUUAGAACACUAUGUUUUUGACUGAGUUGGAAAAUUCAUAGUUUCACUGGUUUUAAUGUUGUUAGAACUGGAGCUGGUGUCUGCCAACUGGCAUGUCUGUAUUUCUCAUUCAUUUGUGGUUAUUUAAUUGUGCUCUGGUUUCUUCCACCUACAAGUUGGUAUCCCUCCUGCCCUCGUAUUUCAGAGACUUGGCUUGAUUGUUGUGGUUGAGGUAGUCCUGGCAGGGCCACUGUAAAGCCACAGGACUAAGAGAAAGAAGAAUCAACUCACAUUUUGAGGAAAACAAGUUUGACAUUUCAAACAAAAAUCUGAAAAGUCUGUGAGAUGGGUGGUUUUUUACCUAUUUAUUUAGUUCAGAAACUUUGGACAUUCUCAUACAUAGUUUUUUAGAUGAUGGUUGACAUACUAUAUGUUGAUAACUUAAGAGAUUACAGAUUUAAAAAAAAAAAAAAAAAGAGAUUACAGAUUUAUGAAAGAAAUGCAAAUCCUCUGAUCCUGCUCUUCGAAGUGAACAU
rnacentral:lncRNA from 1 species